rnacentral:tRNA from 1 species
GGCCCAUUCGACUAGGGGCUAGGUCAUCAGACCCUCAUUCUGAAAACAGCGGUUCGAAUCCGCUAUGGGCUA